AGUGAACGCUGGCGGUAGGCCUAACACAUGCAAGUCGAACGGCAGCACAGUAAGAGCUUGCUCUUACGGGUGGCGAGUGGCGGACGGGUGAGGAAUACAUCGGAAUCUACUUUUUCGUGGGGGAUAACGUAGGGAAACUUACGCUAAUACCGCAUACGACCUACGGGUGAAAGCAUGGGAUCUUCGGACCUUGCGCGAUUGAAUGAGCCGAUGUCGGAUUAGCUAGUUGGCGGGGUAAAGGCCCACCAAGGCGACGAUCCGUAGCUGGUCUGAGAGGAUGAUCAGCGACACUGGAACUGAGACACGGUCCAGACUACUACGGGAGGCAGCAGUGGGGAAUAUUGGACAAUGGGCGCAAGCCUGAUCCAGCCAUACCGCGUGGGUGAAGAAGGCCUUCGGGUUGUAAAGCCCUUUUGUUGGGAAAGAAAAGCAGCAGGUUAAUACCCCGCUGUUCUGACGGUACCCAAAGAAUAAGCACCGGCUAACUUCGUG
rnacentral:rRNA from 1 species